rnacentral:tRNA from 1 species
GUCUCGAAUAGCUUAACUGGAAGAGCCCUUGGCGCGUAACCGAGAGAUCUGGGUUCGAUUCCCAGUCUGGGCU